rnacentral:rRNA from 1 species
CAAGAGCGUAUAUUAAAGUUGCCUCUGCCAACAGAUUCGUACUUUGAUUUCUGCCGAGGACGACCGGCCCGCCCUCUGGGUGAGUAUCUGGCUCGGCCUGGGCAUCUUCUUAGAUAACGCAGCUGCACUUGACUGUGUGGUGCGGUAUCCGGGAUUAUUACCUUGACGAAGGUUGAGUCUUUCAAGCAGGCUUACGCCUUUAUUGCAUUAGCAUGGAAUAAUGAGAUAGGACCUCGGCUCCUCUAUUUUGUUGGGUUCUAGAGUUGAGGUAGUGAUUAAUAGGGGUAGUUGGGGGCAUUCGUACUUAACUGUCGGAGGUAAAAUUCUUUGAUGUGUUAAAGGCGGACUAUUGCGAAAGCAUUUGCCAAGGACAUUUUCAGUG